UAUCCAACUGGCUACGGAAGAGAGGGAAGCAAUUUAAAAGUCAACAGGGGCUGGAAUGAGGUGGCUUACACCUGUAAUCCCAGCAUUUUGGGAGGCCAAGAUGGGUAGAUCGCUUGAGCUCUGAAGUUCGAGACCGGCCUGGGCAACAUGGCAAAACCCUGUCUCUACAAAAAAUACAAAAAUUAGCCAGGCAUGGUGGCGAGUGCCUAUAGUCCCAGCUACUCAGGAGGCUGAGGCGGGAGGAUCGCUUGAACUUGGGAGGUUGAGGUUACAGUGAGCAGAGAUCACGCCACUGUACUCCAGCUGGGCGACAGAGCAAGAACCAUGUCUAAUAAAUACAUAAAUGAAUAGAUAAAGUCAACAGGCUUCUCUACCUGGAUUUCC
rnacentral:lncRNA from 1 species